AGCUCCAAUAGCGUAUAUUAAAGUUGUUGCAGUUAAAAAGCUCGUAGUUGGAUUUCUGGCGAGAGGAUCCGGUCCGACCUUUUGGUGGGUUCUUGGGUCUCUUUCGCCAUCCUUGAGUGGUCCGUUCUGGCAUUAGGUUGUCGGAGCGUCAGCCGCUCAUCGUUUACUGUGAGAAAAUUAGAGUGUUCAAAGCAGGCUUAUGCCGUUGAAUAUAUUAGCAUGGAAUAAUAAGAUAGGACCUCGGUACUAUUUUGUUGGUUUGCGCACCAAGGUAAUGAUGAACAGGGACAGUUGGGGGUAUUUGUAUUUCGUUGUCAGAGGUGAAAUUCUUAGAUUUACGAAAGACAAACUACUGCGAAAGCAUUUACCAAGGAUGUUUUCA
rnacentral:rRNA from 1 species